GCCUUACAUAAGGGGAUAGCCUCUGGAAACGGAGAAUAAUACCCUAUGAAACUAUCUUAUCGCAUGAAUAGAUAGUCAAAGUGUUUUAGCGGUGUAAGAUGGACUUGCGUCUGAUUAGCUAGUUGGUGAGAUAACAGCCCACCAAGGCAACGAUCAGUAGCCGGCUUGAGAGAGUGUACGGCCACAUUGGGACUGAGACACGGCCCAGAAUCCUACGGGAGGCAGCAGUGGGGAAUUUUGCACAAUGGGGGCAACCCUGAUGCAGCGACGCCGCGUGAUUUAGAAGGCCUUCGGGUUGUAAAAAUCUUUUGUAUAGGAAGAAGAUGACAGUACUAUACGAAUAAGGUCCGGCUAAUUACGUGCCAGCAGCCGCGGUAAUACGUAAGGACCGAGCGUUGUCCGGAAUCAUUGGGCGUAAAGGGUACGUAGGCGGUUAGAAAAGUUAGAAGUGAAAGGCUAUAGCUCAACUAUAGUAAGCUUUUAAAACUGUUUAACUUGAGAGAUGGAAGGGAAAGUGGAAUUCCUAGUGUAGCGGUGAAAUGCGCAGAUAUUAUGAGGAAUACCGGUGGCGAAGGCGACUUUCUGGCCAUUAUCUGACGCUGAGGUACGAAA
rnacentral:rRNA from 1 species